GAUGAAGAACGUAGCGAAAUGCGAUAAGUAAUGUGAAUUGCAGAAUUCAGUGAAUCAUCGAAUCUUUGAACGCACAUUGCGCCCCUCGGUAUUCCGAGGGGCAUGCCUGUUCGAGCGUCAUUAUAACCCUUCAAGCUCAGCUUGGUGUUGGGGCCUGCUGUAACUGGUAGCCCUUAAAAUCAGUGGCAGUGCUAUUAGGCUCUAAGCGUAGUAAUUCUUCUCGCUAUAGUGUGUAGUGAGCGCUUGCCAGAACCCCAAACUUUUAUAUGAUUGACCUCGGAUCAGGUAGGGAUAGCCGCUGAACUUAAGCAUAUCAAUAAGCGGAGGA
rnacentral:misc_RNA from 1 species